AGUGAACGCUGGCGGUAGGCCUAACACAUGCAAGUCGAACGGCAGCACAGUAAGAGCUUGCUCUUACGGGUGGCGAGUGGCGGACGGGUGAGGAAUACAUCGGAAUCUACUUUUUCGUGGGGGAUAACGUAGGGAAACUUACGCUAAUACCGCAUACGACCUACGGGUGAAAGCAGGGGAUCUUCGGACCUUGCGCGAUUGAAUGAGCCGAUGUCGGAUUAGCUAGUUGGCGGGGUAACGGCCCACCAAGGCGACGAUCCGUAGCUGGUCUGAGAGGAUGAUCAGCCACACUGGAACUGAGACACGGUCCAGACUCCUACGGGAGGCAGCAGUGGGGAAUAUUCGACAAUGGGCGCAAGCCUGAUCCAGCCAUACCGCGUGGGUGAAGAAGGCCUUCGGGUUGUAAAGCCCUUUUGUUGGGAAAGAAAAGCAGCAGGUUAAUACCCCGCUGUUCUGACGGUACCCAAAGAAUAAGCACCGGCUAACUUCGUG
rnacentral:rRNA from 1 species